UCGUGACUGCGUGCCUUUUGAAGAAUGAGCCUGCGAGUUUGCGGUGUGUUGCGAGGUUAACCCGUGUGGGGUAGCCGUAGCGAAAGCGAGUCCGAAUAGGGCGGUUGAGUAGCACGCUCAAGACCCGAAGCGGAGUGAUCUAGCCAUGGGCAGGUUGAAGCGGCUGUAAGAGGUCGUGGAGGACCGAACCCACCAGGGUUGAAAACCUGGGGGAUGACCUGUGGUUAGGGGUGAAAGGCCAAUCAAACUCCGUGAUAGCUGGUUCUCCCCGAAAUGCAUUUAGGUGCAGCGUCGUGUGUUUCUUGCCGGAGGUAGAGCACUGGAUAGGCGAUGGGCCCUGCCGGGUUACUGACCUUAGCCAAACUCCGAAUGCCGGUAAGUGAGAGCGCGGCAGUGAGACUGUGGGGGAUAAGCUCCAUGGUCGAGAGGGAAACAGCCCAGAGCAUCGACUAAGGCCCCUAAGCGUACGCUAAGUGGGAAAGGAUGUGGAGUCGCAGAGACAACCAGGAGGUUGGCUUAGAAGCAGCCACCCUUGAAAGAGUGCGUAAUAGCUCACUGGUCAAGUGAUUCCGCGCCGACAAUGUAGCGGGGCUCAAGCGUACCGCCGAAGUCGUGUCAUUGCAGCAUAUAGGGCUAACGCCUGUUGUGAUGGGUAGGGGAGCGUCGUGUGCCGGGUGAAGCCGCGCCGGAAGGCAGUGGUGGACGGUUCACGAGUGAGAAUGCAGGCAUGAGUAGCGAUACAAGAGUGGGAAACUCUUGCGCCGAUUGACUAAGGGUUCCUGGGUCAAGCUGAUCUGCCCAGGGUAAGUCGGGACCUAAGGCGAGGCCGACAGGCGUAGUCGAUGGACAACCGGUUGAUAUUCCGGUACCCGCUGUAAAGCGCCCAAUGCUGAAUCCUUUGAUGCUAAGGCCGUGAAGCCGCCUCUGAUCUCUUCGGAGUGAGGGGGAGUGGUGGAGCCGCUGACCCAAGGGGGUAGUAGGUAAGUGAUGGGGUGACGCAGGAAGGUAGUCCAGCCCGGGCGGUGGUUGUCCCGGGGUAAGGGUGUAGCCCGAGGAAUAGGCAAAUCCGUUCCUC
rnacentral:rRNA from 1 species